rnacentral:rRNA from 1 species
GAUUCUUUUUUGAAAGGCGGCUUCGGCUGUCACUGCAGGAUGGGCCCGCGGCGCAUUAGCUAGUUGGUGAGGUAACGGCUCACCAAGGCAACGAUGCGUAGCCGACCUGAGAGGGUGAUCGGCCACACUGGGACUGAGACACGGCCCAGACUCCUACGGGAGGCAGCAGUAGGGAAUCUUCCGCAAUGGACGAAAGUCUGACGGAGCAACGCCGCGUGAGUGAAGAAGGUUUUCGGAUCGUAAAGCUCUGUUGUUAGGGAAGAACAAGUACCAUAGUAACUGAUGGUACCUUGACGGUACCUAACCAGAAAGCCACGGCUAACUACGUGCCAGCAGCCGCGGUAAUACGUAGGUGGCAAGCGUUGUCCGGAAUUAUUGGGCGUAAAGCGCGCGCAGGUGGUUCCAAAAGUCUGAUGUGAAAGCCCCCGGCUCAACCGGGGAGGGUCAUUGGAAACUGGGGAACUUGAGUGCAGGAGAGGAAAGUGGAAUUCCACGUGUAGCGGUGAAAUGCGUAGAUAUGUGGAGGAACACCAGUGGCGAAGGCGACUUUCUGGCCUGUA